rnacentral:ncRNA from 1 species
ACAGUACAAUCUGAGCAGACCAUUGACCUUUGUCAAGGAGUCGGGCCAUUCGUUGGCAGUGGAAUCUUUAUCAUCCACGGGACAGU